UCUUGUUAUUGGCGUUAAAUUUAGCUCUGUGGUCCUCAGUGAGGAGUGGAAACAGUGACAGGGACCUGUUUUGCCACAACACACUUCCUGUGCACUGUGAGUAGUGAGUAAACCACAACCCAGUGACGCAACGUUCGGAAAAAAACCAAAAAAAAACAGAGCGAGCGAGCGAAAAAAAAAGAAAGCAACAAAGAAGAGAGGAAAAUCAGUAAUCAGGAAGUUGUGGCUUCAUUUGAAAAAGGAAAAUUGUUGACUGAACUGUAAAUGGAUACUGUAAGUGAACUUGUGUGAGUUUCCUGUGUGCGGACUUUCCCCUUUCAGAUAACACAAUGAUAAGUUUUCCAUGUUCCUGGAUUCUCACUGUGGUUCCUGCAUCAAGCUCAGUCACACCUGCACAAAGUCACGAGACGUGGACAAUGAUAUGAGACGCCGCUGUUCAUUAGCAUUACGCUAAUGUAUGCUGAUUGGUCGGUCAGCAUUCACUUCAACUGUGAAUUGAUGGCUUCAAUCAAAACAAACGCACGUGUGUGUGUAUGUGUGUGUAUGAAGCAGACAGCUGUGUUGAUCAAAGUUGCCGAUGGCUGAAAUUCUAUUGCGGUGCUAAAGAAAGGUCAGAAGAUCACCUGAGGUGCUGAGGUAAAGAGUUUUUAGCAGUGUUGAGGAGUUUGUGUGUGUUUGAGAGAAAAGGAAAACCUGUAUGAACGCAGUCAAACCCUCCGUCACUGCUCUUUCAGUCAGCUUCUCCUCAUAUAAUUUAUUGUUCUUCUCACUCCUUUAACUUCCACAUCUUCUAAAUCCUUGGAUCAGAUCUUGCAAAAAAAAAAAAGGCUCUUUAUGAAUCCCUCUGAUAAAAAAGUGAAACUGGAGUUUCUGCAACUUUAUUAACUGAACAAAAAUCUGAAAUGUAAGACAUGUUAAAGUUGCCUGAGCUGUUUUUUGUACAGCUGUGUGGGGCAAUAUUCAGACUUUCGCUGACUCUGAGGCUCCCCUGAGCGUCUUCUGGUGCCACUACACACACCCCUGAGGUUCACAGCUUUCUAAAACAUCCAUGAUCAAUUAGACACCAAUUAAACAACGUGUUAAUGAGCUGCCUAAUGACUUAACAGCCAUAUUUCCUCUGUGAGCUUUCUCUGCACAGGCUUAGGAUGCCUCCCUUGUGGGCAAAGACCGAGUGCCAGGAGUCGUAGAGUGGGUGUGCAGUGUGACUUAAUUUUGGUGUUAUUACAUCUUAUUCUCUUGACCCCCUCUCUCCAUUAUGUUUUGGUAGAAGAUGCCGUUUGAUCCCUUUAAUCAUGUAUUGGCUGUGCUUGGUGGAAUGGCUCGUGAGGGAUCUGAGGAGCAUACUGUAAAAAUUUGUAGUAGCACAGGAAUAAAAUAUUGGCGUUUGUUACAUAACGUGGCCUACUGCUAAAUUCGAUCCUGCAUGACUUGCAAUGUACAAUAUUGGAGCUCCGCAUUAGUCGUUCUACUGACCAGCAGUGCCCACGUGGGUUAGCGCAGCCAGGGCUACACACAAGCUGC